GCCCCGUAGCUCAACGGACAGAGCGCCUGGCUUCGAACCUGGGCGUCAGAGGUUCGACUCCUCUCGGGGGCC
rnacentral:tRNA from 1 species